CAACCCUCGGGCCCCGCAUUCGUGCGGGCUCCGGCGUUGGGGACCGGCCUCCGCACGGACGGCCGCCCCCGAAACCCAGUGGCGGUCCCGCCGCGGCCUUCUCUGCGUAGUAGCAUACACCUCGCACUGGAGAGCGGCGCGGCCACGCCGUAAAAGAAACGAACUUUCUCAA
rnacentral:misc_RNA from 1 species